UGGGGAAUUUUGCGCAAUGGGCGGAAGCCUGACGCAGCAACGCCGCGUGGAGGAUGAAGGUCUUUGGAUUGUAAACUCCUGUCAGCAGGGAAAAAGGGACUGGGCCUAAUACGUCCGGAACUUGAUUGUACCUGCAGAGGAAACCCCGGCUAACUCCGUGCCAGCCGCCGCGGUAAUACGGGGGGGGUAAGCGUUGUUCGGAAUUACUGGGCGUAAAGGGCUCGUAGGCGGCCAACUAAGUCGGACGUGAAAUCCCUCAGCUUAACUGGGGAACUGCGUCCGAUACUGGAUGGCUUGGAUCCGGAAGAGGGAUGCGGAAUUCCAGGUGUAGCGGUGAAAUGCGUAGAUAUCUGGAGGAACACCGGUGGCGAAGGCGGCAUCCUGGGCCGGUAUUGACGCUGAGGAGCGAAAGCUAGGGGAGCAAA
rnacentral:rRNA from 1 species